GAUGAACGCUGGCGGCGUGCCUAAUACAUGCAAGUCGAGCGAACAGACGAGGAGCUUGCUCCUCUGACGUUAGCGGCGGACGGGUGAGUAACACGUGGAUAACCUACCUAUAAGACUGGGAUAACUUCGGGAAACCGGAGCUAAUACCGGAUAAUAUAUUGAACCGCAUGGUUCAAUAGUGAAAGACGGUUUUGCUGUCACUUAUAGAUGGAUCCGCGCCGCAUUAGCUAGUUGGUAAGGUAACGGCUUACCAAGGCAACGAUGCGUAGCCGACCUGAGAGGGUGAUCAGCCACACUGGAACUGAGACACGGUCCAGACUCCUACGGGAGGCAGCAGUAGGGAAUCUUCCGCAAUGGGCGAAAGCCUGACGGAGCAACGCCGCGUGAGUGAUGAAGGUCUUCGGAUCGUAAAACUCUGUUAUUAGGGAAGAACAUAUGUGUAAGUAACUGUGCACAUCUUGACGGUACCUAAUCAGAAAGCCACGGCUAACUACGUG
rnacentral:rRNA from 1 species